rnacentral:ncRNA from 1 species
ACAGUACAAACUGAGCAGGCAAUGCGCUCUCGCGGGCGCGUGUGGCCGGGUCGUGAAUACGACAGCAGAUGGAAGCAUAAGGUAUAUCUGCGGGACAG